AUGAACGCUAGCUACAGGCUUAACACAUGCAAGUCGAGGGGCAUCAGGAAGAAAGCUUGCUUUCUUUGCUGGCGACCGGCGCACGGGUGAGUAACACGUAUCCAACCUGCCCUUUACUCGGGGAUAGCCUUUCGAAAGAAAGAUUAAUACCCGAUAGCAUAAUGAUUCCGCAUGGUUUCAUUAUUAAAGGAUUCCGGUAAAGGAUGGGGAUGCGUUCCAUUAGGUUGUUGGUGAGGUAACGGCCCACCAAGCCUUCGAUGGAUAGGGGUUCUGAGAGGAAGGUCCCCCACAUUGGAACUGAGACACGGUCCAAACUCCUACGGGAGGCAGCAGUGAGGAAUAUUGGUCAAUGGGCGCUAGCCUGAACCAGCCAAGUAGCGUGAAGGAUGAAGGCUCUAUGGGUCGUAAACUUCUUUUAUAUAAGAAUAAAGUGCAGUAUGUAUACUGUUUUGUAUGUAUUAUAUGAAUAAGGAUCGGCUAACUCCGUGCCAGCGGCCGCGGUAAUACGGAGGAUCCGAGCGUUAUCCGGAUUUAUUGGGUUUAAAGGGAGCGUAGGUGGACUGGUAAGUCAGUUGUGAAAGUUUGCGGCUCAACCGUAAAAUUGCAGUUGAUACUGUCAGUCUUGAGUACAGUAGAGGUGGGCGGAAUUCGUGGUGUAGCGGUGAAAUGCUUAGAUAUCACGAAGAACUCCGAUUGCGAAGGCAGCUCACUGGACUGCAACUGACACUGAUGCUCGAAAGUGUGGGUAUCAAACAGGAUUAGAUACCCUGGUAGUCCACACAGUAAACGAUGAAUACUCGCUGUUUGCGAUAUACAGUAAGCGGCCAAGCGAAAGCAUUAAGUAUUCCACCUGGGGAGUACGCCGGCAACGGUGAAACUCAAAGGAAUUGACGGGGGCCCGCACAAGCGGAGGAACAUGUGGUUUAAUUCGAUGAUACGCGAGGAACCUUACCCGGGCUUAAAUUGCAGUGGAAUGAUGUGGAAACAUGUCAGUGAGCAAUCACCGCUGUGAAGGUGCUGCAUGGUUGUCGUCAGCUCGUGCCGUGAGGUGUCGGCUUAAGUGCCAUAACGAGCGCAACCCUUAUCUUCAGUUACUAACAGGUUAUGCUGAGGACUCUGGAGAGACUGCCGUCGUAAGAUGUGAGGAAGGUGGGGAUGACGUCAAAUCAGCACGGCCCUUACGUCCGGGGCUACACACGUGUUACAAUGGGGGGUACAGAAGGCAGCUAGCGGGUGACCGUAUGCUAAUCCCGAAAGCCUCUCUCAGUUCGGAUCGAAGUCUGCAACCCGACUUCGUGAAGCUGGAUUCGCUAGUAAUCGCGCAUCAGCCACGGCGCGGUGAAUACGUUCCCGGGCCUUGUACACACCGCCCGUCAAGCCAUGGGAGCCGGGGGUACCUGAAGUACGUAACCGCAAGGAUCGUCCUAGGGUAAAACUGGUGACUGGGGCU
rnacentral:rRNA from 1 species